UCAUUGUGGAUGAUUCUUUUUCCAUUCUCAGGUAGUUUUCUUUUCUUUUCUUUUCUUUUUGUUUUUGUUUUUUUUGAGACUGAGUCUUGCUCUGUUGCCCAGGCUUUGCUCGAUCUCGGCUCGCUGCAACCUCCGCCUCCUGGGUUCAAGUGAUUCUCCUGCCUCAGCCUCCUGAGUAGCUGGGACUACAGGCAUGUGUCACCACACCCGGCUAAUUUUUGUAUUUUUGGUAGAGAUGGGGUUUCACCAUGUUUGCCAGGAUGGCCUCUAUCUCCUGACCUUGUGAUCUACCCACCUCGGCCUCCCAAAUGCUGGGAUUACAGGUGUGAGACACUGGGCCCAGCCUCUCAGGCGGUUUUCAUACCUGCAUACUCUGAUCGCUACUCUGUUAAACAGUCAAGGAGGCUGAGUGCCACGGGCUGACAUCACUAAGAUCAAUACGGCAAACUCUGAAAGAUGGACAGAGAGACAGGAGAUGGUCCUUUAUAAUGCAGUAUGAUCUGUGCUGCAAUAGAGAUGGAAGAGUGUUCUGAUUGGCUGGAAAACAAUGCCCAUGGGAAGCUUUAUGCAAAUGAGUGGGGAAAGUUUUGGAGGCUAGAAGUUCAAAACAAGGUGUUGGCAGCACCGUGCUCUCUCUGAAGAUGCUGGGAAGAAUCUGUUACAUGCCUUUCCAUUCGCUUCUGGGGUUUCCCGCAAGCCCUGACGUUCCUUGGCUUGUAGAUGCAUCACCCCAGUUUCUGCCCCCAUCAUCACAUGGCCUCCUCUCUGUGUGUAUGUCUGUGUUCCCUCUCCUCUUCUUCUAAGGACACCAGUCAUAGUAGAUUAAGGGUCCAUUCCUAAGUAAUUACAUCUGCAACAACCCUAUUUCCAAAUAAAGUCACAUUCUAAGAUUCCUAGGGAGAAUAUGAAUUUUUGGGGCUGUGUGGAUACUGUUC